rnacentral:rRNA from 1 species
GAUGAACGCUAGCGGCAGGCUUAAUACAUGCAAGUCGAGGGACAGCACAGGUAGCAAUACUGGGUGGUAACCGGCAAACGGGUGCGGAACACGUACACAACCUUCCUUUAAGUGGGGGAUAGCCCAGAGAAAUUUGGAUUAAUACCCCGUAAUAUAGUUGAAUGGCAUCAUUUGAUUAUUAUAGCUACGGCGCUUAAUGAUGGGUGUGCGGCUGAUUAGAUAGUUGGCGGGGUAACGGCCCACCAAGUCUACGAUCAGUAGCUGAUGUGAGAGCAUGAUCAGCCACACGGGCACUGAGACACGGGCCCGACUCCUACGGGAGGCAGCAGUAAGGAAUAUUGGUCAAUGAACGCAAGUCUGAACCAGCCAUGCCGCGUGAAGGAUUAAGGUCCUCUGGAUUGUAAACUUCUUCUAUUUGGGACGAAAAAGGGCCUUUCUAGGUCAACUGACGGUACCAGAUGAAUAAGCACCGGCUAACUCCGUGCCAGCCGCCGCAGUAACUC